rnacentral:rRNA from 1 species
AGCGAACGCUGGCGGCAGGCCUAACACAUGCAAGUCGAACGAAGUCUUCGGACUUAGUGGCGGACGGGUGAGUAACACGUGGGAACGUGCCCUUUGGUACGGAAUAACUCAGGGAAACUUGAGCUAAUACCGUAUGUGCCCUUCGGGGGAAAGAUUUAUCGCCAUUGGAGCGGCCCGCGCCUGAUUAGCUAGUUGGUGAGGUAAAGGCUCACCAAGGCGACGAUCAGUAGCUGGUCUGAGAGGAUGAUCAGCCACAGUGGGACUGAGACACGGCCCAACCUCCUACGGGAGGCAGCAGUGGGGAAUCUUGCGCAAGGGGCGAAAGCCUGACGCAGCCAUGCCGCGUGAAUGAUGAAGGUCUUAGGAUUGUAAAAUUCUUUCACCGGGGACGAUAAUGACGGUACCCGGAGAAGAAGCCCCGGCUAACUUCGUGCCAGCAGCCGCCGUAACAC